CUAAUACAUGCAGUCGAACGCUUCUUUCCUCCCGAGUGCUUGCACUCAAUUGGAAAGAGGAGUGGCGGACGGGUGAGUAACACGUGGGUAACCUACCCAUCAGAGGGGGAUAACACUUGGAAACAGGUGCUAAUACCGCAUAACAGUUUAUGCCGCAUGGCAUAAGAGUGAAAGGCGCUUUCGGGUGUCGCUGAUGGAUGGACCCGCGGUGCAUUAGCUAGUUGGUGAGGUAACGGCUCACCAAGGCCACGAUGCAUAGCCGACCUGAGAGGGUGAUCGGCCACACUGGGACUGAGACACGGCCCAGACUCCUACGGGAGGCAGCAGUAGGGAAUCUUCGGCAAUGGACGAAAGUCUGACCGAGCAACGCCGCGUGAGUGAAGAAGGUUUUCGGAUCGUAAAACUCUGUUGUUAGAGAAGAACAAGGACGUUAGUAACUGAACGUCCCCUGACGGUAUCUAACCAGAAAGCCACGGCUAACUACGUGCCAGCAGCGGCCGGUAAUA
rnacentral:rRNA from 1 species